UACCUACACUUUCUUAUCUCGCUUCCAAGUUAACCCCCCACUACUCGAUCCACUUCCCACUUUGGAAACACAACUAAUCCCCAUUUCUGACCCGUACAAAGAAAAACCUCUGAUCAAAGCUAAUCCCACUACGUCUAUCCGGUGUUCCCUUCUUUCUUAGAAAUUGACAGUAUGUAACGGGGAUCUUUCCCUUUGAAAGGGAAGACGAGUUCUCCACUUCUAUUGUAAAAUUUACCGGAUUAGUACUAGAGAGCAAAUGUAACGUACGUUAACUGUUUGUAGAAACGCCAAACAGAAGUUCAUCAAAAAAAUUGAUCUUCACCGUUUUGUGAUAGCGUGGAUAAUGUUGAGGCUAAGAUUAAGAGGUUGAUUUGGUGAUUUUCGUUUCUUUGCUGCUAAUACCUAGGCUGCUAUUAGUUAAGCUUUGAGAAGAGGGAACAUGGUCAAAUUUGUGCAACAAAAAGCUCUUAAAGUUAUCAAAUUAGAAGGCAUUGGAUUUGAGCGACAACAUCAAAUUCAGUAUAUGUAGCCUUGAAUUUUAUUCCUUGCUCAUGCACCAAUUAAUAAACUUGAAAAGAAGGAACUUUUAAUCCAAAAUUCCAUAAGAGGUGUGUAUCAGCAUCUUUUGUAGAUCAUCCCCGACAACAUUUUCGUAGAUCUCUGGUGAUAGCUGCAGCUACUAGGCCACCGAGUACUUGCCACAAUAACAGUAGAACCUACUUGAACACGAUAUGAUUUCGUUUUGAAACGUAUUCCGAGUGACUGCCGUUAAAAUUUCAUCAGUUACGGGGCUUUCUGCACGAAACGGGUUCGAGAAUCAUUCCAUGAAUUCUCUCGCCAAUGGAUUGAUUGAGAUGGCUUCUAUCAGAACGUUUUAUUUUUGAAGAAGGUUUUAAAGAUUUCUUAGACCAGGCUAACUGUCCAUGAAGAUAUGGCAGCUAUUAUCGAGGUCUGAAUUUAGCUAUAGUUUGCACUUUAGAUUAUUGUAUAAUUGACGAAGGUUGAUCACUUACACAAGCAAGCUACACAACUGCACGGCUUGGAACAUUUAGGAUAUGGAGAUGCAAAUCUAUCAUUGCUAACGGCAGGGAGCUACUGCAUCUCUAUUAUAAGAAUCUUGCUUUUCUUUAGAGUUGUAGAAACGGCGCAUGCAGGUGAAGAAGUUUUCACACUUUAAAAUGGUACAAGUCCAGCAAUUCCAAGAGUUACGAUGUUAUAAAUAAGCAUUUCCGCGUCAUAUAAAGCAUGGUUGGAGUUUAGUAAGGAUAACCUUGCGUCUUAUUUACAGUCACUUAAUAUUCACUUUUCUUUAAUCUUAACUUCACGUCAAAGAAAUCAUCAACUACUCCUGUAGUUAUAACCUUGAAAUUGCAUCGAGUACAAUAUAAAUGAGAGAAGUUGGGUCGUCGUAUAUAGUCCUGUUUGCCGCAGAUCCAUCAGUAUUGAUGUCAUACCGUUCUUACAAGGGAGUUGAUAGGUUUCUUGCUCAAGUUAGUGUUAAAAAUAAUGCGCAAAUGGAUGCUGCAUCUGUGACGGAGUUUGCGGGAUCAAUCUUUGCUUAGAAGGGUUAUUUACGGGGCAAGGCUUUCAACAAAGAUCAAUUGCAAUGGAUUUUAUGUAUUUCACCGUGG